rnacentral:rRNA from 1 species
CAGUCGCCACGGUAAUACCAGCACCUCGAGUGGUCAGGAGGUUUAUUGGGCCUAAAGCAUCCGUAGCCGGUUGCAUAAGUUUUCGGUUAAAUCUAUGCGCUUAACGUAUAGGCCGCCGAAAAUACUGUGCAGCUAGGGAGUGGGAGAGGUACACGGUACUCGAUAGGAAGGGGUAAAAUCCUUUGAUCUAUUGAUGACCACCUGUGGCGAAGGCGGUGUACCAGAACACGUUCGACGGUGAGAGAUGAAAGCUGGGGGAGCAAACCGGAUUAGAUACCCCCGUAGUCCCUGUCUCUUAUAC